rnacentral:rRNA from 1 species
CCCAGACUCCUACGGGAGGCAGCAGUGGGGAAUAUUGCACAAUGGGGGGAACCCUGAUGCAGCGACGCCGCGUGGGCGAGGAAGUAUUUCGGUAUGUAAAGCCCUAUCGGCAGGGAAGAAGAAAUGACGGUACCUGAAGAAGAAGCCCCGGCUAACUACGUGCCAGCAGCCGCGGGAAUACGUAGGGGGCAAGCGUUAUCCGGAUUUACUGGGUGUAAAGGGAGCGUAGACGGCGAAGAAAGUCUGAAGUGAAAGCCCGCGGCUCAACCGCGGAAUGGCUUUGGAAACUUUUUUGCUGGAGUACCGGAGAGGUAAGCGGAAUUCCUAGUGUAGCGGUGAAAUGCGUAGAUAUUAGGAGGAACACCAGUGGCGAAGGCGGCUUACUGGACUGUAACUGACGUUGAGGCUCGAAAGCGUGGGGAGCAAACAGGAUUAGAUACCCGUGUA